AUUGAACGCUGGCGGCAGGCCUAACACAUGCAAGUCGAGCGGGGUUUUCGGACCUAGCGGCGGACGGGUGAGUAAUGCGUAGGAAGCUACCCGAUAGAGGGGGAUACCAGUUGGAAACGACUGUUAAUACCGCAUAAUGUCUACGGACCAAAGUGUGGGACCUUCGGGCCACAUGCUAUCGGAUGCGCCUACGUGGGAUUAGCUAGUUGGUGGGGUAAUGGCUCACCAAAGCGACGAUCCCUAGCUGGUUUGAGAGGAUGAUCAGCCACACUGGAAAUGAGACACGGGCCAGACUCCUACGGGAGGCAGCAGUGGGGAAUAUUGGACAAUGGGCGCAAACCCGAUCCAGCCAUGCCGCGUGUGUGAAGAAGGCCUUCGGGUUGUAAAGCACUUUCAGUAGGGAGGAAGCGUUGUGUGUUAAUAGUACACAGCGUUGACGUUACCUACAGAAGAAGCACCGGCUAACUCUGUGCCAGCCGCCGCCGUAACAC
rnacentral:rRNA from 1 species